UUGGUUGAUUCUGUAUCACUUGGUAGAAGGAUGUGCAUCUAUUUUGAUACUAAUGCUGGGCGUAUUAUUAUAAGGUUUCUGUUGGAUUAUCUCAAACAAUUACUUGUCAACAAUGAAAUGAACAGGCAUUGAUAGAUACAAUGAAAUGUACUUGAUAAAUUCUAUUGGCUUGAUAUUUCUUACCAGAAAUCUUUUUGUAUUUAUCUUUACUAUACUUUAUAGCAUCCCAUUGGUAAUGAUAAGAUAUGCAACCAAUAGAAAUGCUUUGCCCUCCAUCAGUGGCCAACCUCAUUCUAAAUAACUUACUAAGCUCCCAUAUUCUAGAAGUUCAAAUAUCCAUAAAAAUUAAAUAUUCAUAAAAAUAAGGGGAAUGAUUUAAAUUUUAUUCCCCUUUGUGUGGCUUCCAGGUUAAGAAUAAGCAUUACAGGUUGUUGCAGUAGAUCAGUGUAUUUUUAGAUAAGCUUCCUCUGUAAAGUCUUGACUUGCAGAUUGCCAACUGUCCUCGGCAGUUCGUUCUCCACCUGAAUAAGUAUGCGACUGCACAAGCAAAGCUGAGUGAAGACGAGGCUUUGAGGGUGAGAUACAAAUCCGGAACUCCACUUGAAGGAGGGAAGAUUGCUGAAAGUGAACCUGUCGAUCUCUUCUCUAGUGCUCGGAAUAUUUCUUCUACUCACACAACUAAUACUACACACCCUUCUACCACUGAUGAUCAGCAGCCUCAAAGGUCGAGUCAUGACUCUUUAAGUCUGGAAGAGAUUCUAAUGCUUCAGGUUAAAGUAAUUAGGGUUUAAGAAGGGAGUUGUAUUUCCAUAUUUUCUGUCUUCUGUCCUAGAGCCUUGGUUCCUCCUUUCUUUCCCCCUAUCCUCUCGUUGGAGUUGUAAUAAUAAAGGCUUACUGACCACUUGGUUAUUGCUGUCCGUCGAAGAACACUAAAGGAAACCAAGAGAACCGACAAUCUAUUUCAAGUUCUCGCCCAAUGCCCAACCCACAAAAUGUAAGGAAAGCGGUGGGCAUCCAGUGGCAUAGGCAUCACCCACAAUCAUGGUCAGAGCCCAACCCAAAUCAAUUUCUUGGAUUUGGUGGAAGAACAUCAAGAACCAAUCUUGAUUAAAAGCCAAAGCAAUUGAAAACAAAUGAAAGCAUAACCUUUCUUAUUUGGAUUUUCUCUUAAAUUCUAGAACCGACAAAAAAAGCCCCAAACAAGAAAUUUUUUUAAAUCUUUAACUAUGACUCAAUUAACUUCUUUUUAACAUUCUUGAUUAUUACAAUAGACAAGCAGUUUUUGAAUAAAAAUUUAUUCUUUAAAAGUGUAAUAUGAUCUCUACAUAAUCUAAAUUACUUUAUAAGUUUGAUAUUUUUUAAAUAGUUCUGUUAUAAACUAUAAUCUAAUUUCUGUAAGACUAUUUUUUGUAAUGAUUUCAGGAAAUAUUCCUAAUUUUCGUAAUACUUCAAAAUUUUUAUUAAAAGAUUUGUUGUCAAAUAUUUAACAAAAGUUAGAAGCGUUUUUUAAAUCAUUGUGUUCAAAAUAUGUUUUAAAUACAUUACAUAAUAAGCUUUUAAAAGACAUUUCUAGAAAAAAAAAAAAAAAAAAAGAAUAGUACAAAUAUUGGAAUGUGAUUUGAGUCACCCCAAAUUCAUGACUAUCCUAAUGUAGAAAACUUGAUCUUAAUCAAAUGGCACUACAAAAUUGAAAUGUUAUAAAUAAAUAAUCUAUUAUUUUGAACACAUUUUAAUACUGAGAUUGCCAAGAUUUUAAAAAAUCAACUGCCACGAAGGGAAAGAUCAACGUGAAAGAGCAUCUUUAUCAAAAACGGGUCAUAGAUCAAAGUUGAGAAAGUUAAGGUUAUUUAUAUAAAUAAAAGUCUUAUUUAGGCCCUUUUAAUCAAAUAAUUUUAAUUUUAAUAAUUUGAACAUUCUAAAGCAUGAUUCUCCUUACUGGAAAAUGAAAAUAUUAUUAUACGAAAGUCUUGAUGAUUGUUGAUUAGAACCUAAAAAGGUUUUUUUUUUUUUUUUAAAUAUUUUUAUCUUUAUUUUUCCUUUUUUAAAUUCCAUUUUAGAGGUAGUCCUAUUUGCAUUGUUUAAAUCUAAAAUUUUAAUUUUAAUCAAAUAAUCCUUAUUUUGAUGGUGUUUUGUAAAUCUAAAAUUUGCUGGUAAAGUAAAUUAACAAUUUGGAUUUUGUAAGAGUGUGUUUAACGGUGACUUUAUAAUAAAAAUUUUCAAAUGUUAAUAAUAAAAAUUUACCCAUGCUUCCUAGAAUCACUGUGGAAUAAGUUCUAAAUCUACAAUUUUAAUUUUUUUCAUUAUUGAAACAAGUUUCACUUUAUAUAACUUCAUCUCUUAAAUAUAUCUCUCAUCAAUUUCACAACAAAAGAUUAAACAAUUUCCAUGGUAUAGCCCACAUUCUGAGCCCUUUUUACAUAAUGCAUGAGCCUAUAAACCACUCUAAUUUUGUUGUAGAUUUUAGAAGUGUGUAGAAAAUCAAAUUUUAAAAUAAUAUUUUUUUACCACAAAUAUAGUAAAUAAAUAAAUUUUAAAUUCAUCUAUUCAAAUUCUAUCAAACCAUGUCAUGGUAACAUAAAAAUCAUGAUUCAAUGUGUAUUAAUUACUAAUUCUUUUGUUAUUUCUCAAAGUUUUUUUUUAUGGUUUCUUUUAAUUUUUACCAAAAUUUUUAUUCCCAUUUCAAUCAAUUUUUUCAUAAAAUCCGACCAUCUAUAUUUUGAUUUAACGCUUUGAUCAUUGGUGCCAAUUCUUAUAGGAUGGUAGAAAAUAGUUUUCAAUAUUGUUUUUAGGAUGAUUUUUUUUAUUUUACUACUAACAUGUGAGUCUUGAUUUUUUAUUUUAUUUUUAAUAUCUUAAUUUUUAAAUAGUUUUAAACCCUUGUGUUAACAAAAAUAAAUAAAUAAAUAAAUAAAUAAAUCUCGACUUAAAUAGAAUUUUUUACAAUUUAAAAAGAAAAAGAAAAAGAAAAAAGUCAUUUGAAGAUAUAUGUCAAUAGAAAGUCAUCUUUUCAUAUUUUCAAUUAUAUCAUCUAAAAUAUUGAUCUUUUUAUGCAUUUUUUUUUAUCAAUAAUAUAUUUUAAUUGUAUAAAUACUAUCUUUUGAUAGGAAACUUUAACCAUUUUUAAAGGUUUUUUUUUUUUCAAAAACUUAUACCAAAAUGAAAGUUUUUUCAAAACAAUAUAUAUCGAAAGGAGAUUUAGAUGCUACUUAAUAACUGUUUUUUAUAAUAGUUUUCCAUUCUCCAAAACAUAAAAAAUAGAAAAAUAUGUUUGAUUAUCAUAGAACUGUCUUUUGUUCUAUUAUUAAAAAUAUCAAAUAAAGUGUUUUCAAAUAAUAUUUUUUAAUUGUUUUCAAUUACUUUCACUUAUUUUGAGUUGUUUCAAAACAUAAUUAUACAAAUAUAAAAUAACUAAAAAUAAAAUAAUAGACAAAAACUAUUUUUAAAACAUUAAAAACAAGUUAAAAAUGUUUUAAGUUCUUAAAUAAACUUUUAUUCUAUGAACAUAAAAAAUAAAAAAAUAAAAAAAAAAGUUUUUAAAAAGUAAUUAAAAAACAAUUACCUCAAAAGUUAAUCAUCGUGUCUUGUUUUCUCAGUCGAAAAAUCUAAGGUUGUCCUAGCCUUUUUUACCCCAAAUGUCACUCUUGUAUUUUUUUUUUCAGCAUUAUUUAACGAAAAAGAGAAGUGGCCCAAGGACCAUCCCUUGGCCUAAAUUUAUAGCAAGCCAAAGUUCAUUCAAACCCUUUCCACCAAAGUAGGUUUUUUUUUUUUUUGAUCAUCUUAUUUCUCUAAGCUAACCCCAUAUCCAAAAUAGAUUGAACUAAUGGCAUCUUUAAAUUGGCUUGUAACUUGGGGUGUCAAUCCGAGUUUCAAGUUCAAGUUUCAAAGCAUUGGUUCUAAGUAAUGUUUUCAUAAUCAGAUAUGUCAUUGAACUGGAAAAGUUAUUGAUUCAUUAGUCAGAUCGGCGGUCGAACUAUGGUCGAACCAAUAAUGUCAUAAAUAUAUAUUUUAUAUAUUAUUAAAAUUUAAAAUAAUUUAAAAAAUAAAAAUAAUAAAUUAUGAGGAACAUAAUAUUUUUAGAAAUUUAUUUAAAAUCAUAAUGUUCUCAUUAAUUUAAAUUUAAAUUAUAAAUUUUAAAAAUCAUAAAGUUAAAAAAAUUACAAUUGUAAAAUUAAAAUAAAUAACAAUGAAAAUAAACUAAUAAAGUAAAUGAAAAUAAAAAAAAAUAUAAGGAAAAUCUAAAAAAUGUGAGUGAAACACUCAUAAUAUCGUGUUUUUGUAUUUAAAUGUUAUUUCCUCAUAUUUUUAUUUUAUAGUUCAUAUUGAACCACACAUAAAAUAUUAAGAUUGAAAUAUUUAUGUUAUUAAAUCACUAAUUCAACAUUUUUUUUUAAAUUUAACUAUUAUACCAAAAAACAAACUUUUCUGUAUCACAUAUCUCUUUUUCAAUCAAUGACAAAUUUUUAUGUAUAUAAUUGGUAUUUUCAACCAAUAACAAACUUCUAUAUAUAUAAUUAAUAUUUUAAGAUUUUCCUUUUUAAAAAUGAUUAGAUAGUAAUGUAAUAUAGAAUUGGAUUUAAAAUUUACAAAAUUAUAGCCACAAAUUUAAUCAUAAACUUUGAUAUUCCAAAGUUAAUAAAAUGAGUCAUUCAAUCCAGCUUGUUGUGUUAUUGUUCUUAGUUUCAUCAAAGUUCCCAACAGUUGUAGCUAUCAACAACUAGUGGCGACGUAUUGGGGUGGCGUUGGAGGUGCCGACAGUGACAUAGAAAUUAUCAAUAUCCACUAUACAAAAACCAAACAUUUUGUAGGCUUGCAUAAAAAUUAUCAAUAUCCAAAAAUUAAUUAUUCACAAUAAAUUUUAAUAUUUUUUAUGUGGUCUGCUUCCAAAUGUAAAUAACAAAUUAAAAAAAAAAAAAGAGAAUUAUGUUUUGGGGGUAGAUGGGCCCCCAAAUUAACAAAAGGUCCAUGUAACUAUUCAAAUUGAACCCAAGACCUAAUGAAAGUAUGGAAAUUGAGUUGAAGGAUAUCAUCCUUCAGUAUUUCCAAAAAUGCCCUUUGUUGAUUUUGAGAAAAAAAUUAAUAUUUUUGAAAAAUAAUUUUAUUUAAUUUAAUAUUUUUUAUUUAAUUUAAUAUUUUAAAAAAAUACUUUUAUGUAAUUUAAUAUUUUUUAAAAUACUUUUAUUUAAUUUAAUAUUUUUUAAAAAUAAAUUUAUUUAAUUUAAUAUUUAAAAAAUAUUUAAUUUAAUAUUUUUUUAAAUACUUUAAUUUAAUUUAAUAUUUUUGAAAUCUACUUUUAUUUAAUUUAGUAUUUUUUUUAAAAAAAUUAUUUAACUUAAUUUUAUAAAAUAUUUUAUAUGUGUUCUUAAAGGGUAUAUUUGUCCGUUACUAUUUCAUAUCCUUCAACUCAAUUUGAAGAGUUAUAUGAAUCUUUUGUUAAUUUGGGAGCCUAUCUACCCCCAAAAGAUAAUUCUCCCAAAAAAAUAUAUCAAAUUUUAAAUUAUUCUAAAUUAAAUUUCAAUUUUGUUAAAAUUGUCACAUUUAUAACAUACAAUCUAAAAGUUAAAGACCAUUUAAGCUAAUUUUUAUUAUAAUAGGUAUUAUUAGCAAAAACUAAUUUUACAAUUACGAGAAUGGUAGUUCUUGGGUCAUCCACGUGCGACCUACCCAACAUUCAACUUCAAGCAUUCAAUUUGCGGUCCUGAUUUUCAUCCAACUAAUUUCUUGGAAUCCAAACACACUGCAGUGGUUAAAAGGAAAAUACCAAAAAAAGAAUAAAACAAAGAGAGAAAGAGAAACAGAUGGAAACUGAAGGUGGGAAGGGUUAAAUUAUAAGUAUUUUACAUUCCAGAAAAAACAUUUUGCUUCUCUUUCUCUGUGAGAAGAUGGACCCGAAUGGUGGAUCGAGCUCCGCAGGGGCCGCAGAUGGAGCAUCUGAUCCCGCAGCUGCACGUAGGAGGCAUUCCAAGAAACCCAAAUGUGUAUUUCUUUUCUCUCUCUCCUUCAUUAUAGCUAUUUAUAUUUGUAAUUUCUUCUUUCUUUUCGUGUAUUAGAUUAUUAUUACUGCCAUUUACGUUUUUUUUUUUGGUCGGUGGGGUUGGGGCGGAGGAAUUUGAAGGGCAAAUCUGCAAUGUUGUGGAUCAGUUAUACAUUGUGUUAUAAUUCAAAUUUUCAAUAUUCUUGAGUGGCAUUACCUUUGGUCAUAUUUUGGAUCAAUUCUUGGAAUUUCUGGGUGGUGGCAUUAGCAUGAGUGAAUCGAAUCUGGGUUUCAUUCUCUUCAAGAAUUGGUAUCUGGGUACUCUAUUUGCUAUCCAAUCGCUUUAGGCGCUUACUGUAUUUUUAUUUUUUUUCUUUGGGUUUGGUGGUUUUAUUAGUAGACAGUAGAUAUGAAACUUGUUAAACCAUUCUGAAUGUAUGUAACAUUUAACUCAACACACAUGAGGGUAUUUACCUGGAGGAGACAUUACCCAGAGGAUGCUGCCACCUUUCAAAAUGAAUGCAAGCUUAUGUGUGUAUAUAUGUAUGUAUUAUUUAUGUAUUUUGUUUGAUAUGAGUUGUGAAUUUGGGUUAAAUUUGGAGUAAUGUGGCCUCCAUUUUUAUUCAAAGUUAAUGCAUGUAAUGUGAAUCAACCACACUACUAACAACAUGCUAAAUUAACUUCAAGGGGUAGGGAGUGCUGCCAAAAUAGUCAUUAGACUCAUUACCUUAAGGUCAUGUUUGGAUCGCUGGAAUAGAGAAUGGGAAUGGGAAAUCAAUUCCAUUUCUACUCAUUAAUCUCUUUGAAUUGAUUUUUAGAAUGGGAGUGGGAAUAAAAGAUUCAUUAGUAUGGAAACCAAAUCCCACUGUCACUAGGAUUUUGAUUCCUUUCUUUUACAUGGUAUUGUGAUUCACCUAUGACUGUAAGUUAUGCUAGCUGAUGGAUAUAUUUGAAUUUGGUACUAAUCUAUAGCAUGUGAUUUUCAAAGCUUUUUAUGCUCUGUUAUCACCCUGACAGUUUCUUUAUGCUAUUUUCCAUACACUAAAUUGUAAACGCUGUUGUUAUACAGUUCCCUAUUAAAAUUCUUUUAGUUCAUUUUUUA
rnacentral:lncRNA from 1 species